CCGAGUUUUGAAAAAGACUCCCAAACCCUGUGAACUUACCUAUCGUUGCCUCGGUAGGUGGCCUCGCUGCGCCGUAGGAGACAUCUUCCCGUGGUACAGUAGGUGCACCCUGCCGAAGGCCCCUAUAAACUCUUUGUAUUUUGAACAUUGGAUCUUCUGAGCGAGAAAAAAAAUUGUUA
rnacentral:misc_RNA from 1 species